rnacentral:misc_RNA from 1 species
UUUCCGUAGGUGAACCAGCGGAAGGAUCAUUAUCGAGUUUUGACUGGACUGUAGCUGGCCUUCCGAAGCAUGUGCACGCCCUGCUCAUCCACUCUACACCUGUGCACUUACGGUGAGUAUCAGAUCGUGAAGCGUGCUCUUUUACCGGAGUUGGUGAAGCGUGUAUGUGCCGGCGUUUAUAACAAACACUAUAAAGUAUCAGAAUGUGUAUUACGAUGUAACGCAUCUAAAUACAACUUUCAGCAACGGAUCUCUUGGCUCUC